AGAGAUGUGUGAUGACGCAUAUCAAUAAGCGGAGGAAAAGAAACUAACUAGGAUUCCCUUAGUAACGGCGAGUGAAGCGGGAAGAGCUCAAAUUUGAAAUCUUCAAGGUUCUACCUUGACGAAUUGUAGUUUAUAGAAGUGUUUUCUGUUAGUGGAGUGGCAAAAGUUCUUUGGAAUAGGACAUCAUAGAGGGUGAGAAUCCCGUAUUUGGUCAUUCCUCCUAGCGUUGUGAUACACUUUCAACGAGUCGGAUUGUUUGGGAAUGCAGUCCAAAAUGGGUGGUAAAUUUCAUCUAAAGCUAAAUAUUGGCGAGAGACCGAUAGCGAACAAGUACCGUGAGGGAAAGAUGAAAAGAACUUUGAAAAGAGAGUUAAACAGUACGUGAAAUUGUCAAAAGGGAAGCGUUUGACACCAGUGUUGUUUUUCCGAAAAUCAAUUACGAAUGUUUUGUUUUUGAGGAGUUAUGACUUCAUCGGCUUGCUCCUUUCUUUAUGAAACUUUCUUAAUGCACUUUUCGGUUAACAAGUCAACAUCAAUUUCUUUUGUUGUAAAAGGGUAUGAGGAAGGUGGCUUUCUUUUCGGAGAAAGUGUUUAUAGCCUUGUGCCUCUGCAAUCGGAGAGAUUGAGGUCUGCAGCGUAGAUCCUUCGGGGUUAGAUACGUUUGUGCUAAGUUAUAGCUUUUCAUAGACAACUUGUUGACUAUGUUUAGUCUUGUAGCUUACUCGCUUAUGCUAUUUUACCUACGCUUAGGAUGUUGAGUAGCGACAUACGCAC
rnacentral:rRNA from 1 species